rnacentral:rRNA from 1 species
UACGUAGGGGGCUAGCGUUGUCCGGAAUCAUUGGGCGUAAAGAGCGUGUAGGCGGCUCGAUAAGUCCGCUGUGAAAGUCCAGGGCUCAACCCUGGAAGGCCGGUGGAAACUGUCGGGCUAGAGUCCGGAAGAGGCGAGUGGAAUUCCCGGUGUAGCGGUGAAAUGCGCAGAUAUCGGGAGGAACACCAAUGGCGAAGGCAGCUCGCUGGGACGGUACUGACGCUGAGGAGCGAAAGCGUGGGGAGCGAACAGG